GAACGCUAGCUACAGGCUUAACACAUGCAAGUCGAGGGGCAGCGGGAUUGAAGCUUGCUUCAAUUGCCGGCGACCGGCGCACGGGUGAGUAACGCGUAUCCAACCUUCCGUACACUCAGGGAUAGCCUUUCGAAAGAAAGAUUAAUACCUGAUGGUAUGAUGAGAUUGCAUGAUAGCAUCAUUAAAGAUUUAUCGGUGUACGAUGGGGAUGCGUUCCAUUAGGUAGUAGGCGGGGUAACGGCCCACCUAGCCAACGAUGGAUAGGGGUUCUGAGAGGAAGGUCCCCCACAUUGGAACUGAGACACGGUCCAAACUCCUACGGGAGGCAGCAGUGAGGAAUAUUGGUCAAUGGACGAGAGUCUGAACCAGCCAAGUAGCGUGAAGGAUGAAGGUCCUACGGAUUGUAAACUUCUUUUAUAAGGGAAUAAACCCUCCCACGUGUGGGAGCUUGUAUGUACCUUAUGAAUAAGCAUCGGCUAACUCCGUGCCAGCAGCCGCGGUAAUACGGAGGAUGCGAGCGUUAUCCGGAUUUAUUGGGUUUAAAGGGAGCGCAGACGGGUCGUUAAGUCAGCUGUGAAAGUUUGGGGCUCAACCUUAAAAUUGCAGUUGAUACUGGCGUCCUUGAGUGCGGUUGAGGUGUGCGGAAUUCGUGGUGUAGCGGUGAAAUGCUUAGAUAUCACGAAGAACUCCGAUUGCGAAGGCAGCACACUAAUCCGUAACUGACGUUCAUGCUCGAAAGUGUGGGUAUCAAACAGGAUUAGAUACCCUGGUAGUCCACACGGUAAACGAUGGAUACUCGCUGUUGGCGAUAUACUGUCAGCGGCUUAGCGAAAGCGUUAAGUAUCCCACCUGGGGAGUACGCCGGCAACGGUGCAACUCAAAGGAAUUGACGG
rnacentral:rRNA from 1 species